rnacentral:lncRNA from 10 species
GCUUCCUGAUUUAUAUAAAUGAAAUCUCAUUUAUAAAGUAUAAUAAAGAUGACUGUAAGACAAAAUCCAAUUCUAAAAGUAUGAUUUUUUUCUAGUAGAAAAUUGAUGUAAGAAAUCAUACAUUAUUCAUACAUUUAUAGGUCAUCUCUUUGAGUUUUCAGUGAACUAUAGAAACUAUAUGGAGUUAAAAAACAAAACGGCAGCCAAUCUCAGUGGCUCACACCUGUAAUCCCAGCACUUUGGAAGGUUGAGGCAGGCAGAUCACCUGAGGUUGGGAGUUCAAGACCAGUCUGACCAACAUGGAGGAAUCCCGUCUCUACUAAAAAUACAAAAUUAGCCAGGCAUGGUGGCACAUGCCUGUAAUCCCAGCUGCUCGGGAGGCUGAGGCAGGAGAAUCGCUUGAACCCAGGAGGCAGAGGUUGUGGUGAGCCGAGAUCAUGCCAUUGCUCUCCAGCCUGGGCAACAAGAGUGAAACUCCAUCUCAAAAAAAAAAAAAAAAAAUAGCCCUAUGUUUAAAUGGCUCAAAGAAAAGACUAUAAAUGGAAUUGAACAUGUUUGUUAGCUGUUUGAGCAUUUUAUAUUGGUAAAUUUUUUAUUUUCUUAUUUUUUGUCUUACAGUCGACCAGGCUGGAAUGCAGUGGCACAAUCAUGGCUCACUGCAGCCUCAGCCUCCUGGGCUCAAGCAAUCCUCCUGCCUCAACCUCCCCAGUAGCUGGGACUACAGCUGGGCGUGGUGGUGGAUGCCUGUAAUCCCAGCUACUUGGGAGGCUGAGGCUGGAGAAUCCCUUGAACUUGGGAGGCGGAGGUUUCAGUGAGCCAAGAUCAUGCCAUUGCACUGCAGCCUGGGCAACAAGAGCAAAACU